rnacentral:ncRNA from 1 species
GCUUUAACGAGUAUCCAUUGGAGGGCAAGUCUGGUGCCAGCAGCCGCGGUAAUUCCAGCUCCCAAAAGUAUAUAUUUAAGUUGUUGCGGUUAAAAAGCUCGUAGUUGGAUUUUGGGCGCAGGCGGCCGGUCCGUCGCAAGGCGUGUACUGGACGUCCUGGCCUUCCCUCCGGUUCUCCGCCGGUGCUCUUGACUGAGUGUCGGCGGCGGCCGGAACGUUUACUUUGAAAAAAUUAGAGUGUUCAAAGCAGGCUCUCGAGCCUGGAUAAUGGUGCAUGGAAUAAUGGAAUAGGACCUCGGUUCUAUUUUGUUGGUUUUCGGAGCGCGAGGUAAUGAUUAAGAGGGACAGACGGGGGCAUUCGUACUGUGCCGUUAGAGGUGAAAUUCUUGGAUCGGCGCAAGACGAACGACUGCGAAAGCAUUUGCCAAGAAUGUUUUCUUUAAUCAAGAGCGAAAGUCAGAGGUUCGAAGACGAUCAGAUACCGUCCUAGUUCUGACUAUAAACGAUGCCAACUAGCGAUCGGGGGGCGUUACAUUGACGACCCCUCCGGCAGCUUACGGGAAACCAAAGUCUUUGGGUUCCGGGGGAAGUAUGGUUGCAAAGCUGAAACUUAAAGGAAUUGACGGAAGGGCACCACCAGGAGUGGAGCCUGCGGCUUUAAUUUGACUCACACGGGAAAUCUCACCCGGCCCGGACACAGUGAGGAUUGACAGAUUGAGAGCUCUUUCUUGAUUCUGUGGGUGGUGGUGCAUGGCCGUUCUUAGUUGGUGGAGCGAUUUGUCUGGUUAAUUCCGAUAACGAACGAGACUCUGGCUUG